rnacentral:rRNA from 1 species
GACGAACGCUGGCGGCGUGCUUAACACAUGCAAGUCGAACGGUAAGGCCCUUCGGGGUACACGAGUGGCGAACGGGUGAGUAAUACGUGGGUGAUCUGCCCUGCACUUCGGGAUAAGCCUGGGAAACUGGGUCUAAUCCCGGAUAGGACACCUGCCUGCCUGGGUGGAGGGGGAAUGCUUUUGCGGUGUGGGAUGGGCCCGCGGCCUAGCGGCUUGUUGGUGGGGUGAUGGGCUACCAAGGCGACGACGGGUAGCCGGCCUGAGAGGAUGACCGGCCACGCUGGGACUGAGAUACGGCCCAGACUCCUACGGGAGGCAGCAGUGGGGAAUAUUGCACAAUGGGCGCAAGCCUGAUGCAGCGACGCCGCGUGAGGGAUGACGGCCUUCGGGUUGUAAACCUCUUUCAGCACCGACGAAGCGCAAGUGACGGUAGGUGCAGAAGAAGGACCGGCCAACUACGUGCCAGCAGCCGCCGUAA